rnacentral:tRNA from 1 species
GGAGGGUAUAGCUCAGUGGUAGAGUAUGUGCUUAGCAUGCACGAGGUCCUGGGUUCAAUCCCCAGUACCUCCA